rnacentral:rRNA from 1 species
AGUUUGAUCCUGGCUCAGGAUGAACGCUAGCUACAGGCUUAACACAUGCAAGUCGCGGGGCAGCAUGGGGGUUGCUUGCAACCCCUGAUGGCGACCGGCGCACGGGUGAGUAACGCGUAUCCAACCUGCCCUUCACCACGGGAUAACCCGGCGAAAGUCGGACUAAUACCGUAUGUUGUCCAUUGGCGGCAUCCGAUUUGGACGAAAGGCUUAGCGGUGAGGGAUGGGGAUGCGUCCGAUUAACUUGACGGCGGGGUAACGGCCCACCGUGGCUACGAUCGGUAGGGGUUCUGAGAGGAAGGUCCCCCACACUGGAACUGACACACGGUCCAGACUCCUACGGGAGGCAGCAGUGAGGAAUAUUGGUCAAUGGGCGGAAGCCUGAACCAGCCAAGUAGCGUGCAGGAUGACGGCCCUAUGGGUUGUAAACUGCUUUUAUGCGGGGAUAAAGGGGCCCACGUGUGGGCUUUUGCAGGUACCGCAUGAAUAAGGACCGGCUAAUUCCGUGCCGGCAGCCGCGGUAAUACGGAAGGUCCGGGCGUUAUCCGGAUUUAUUGGGUUUAAAGGGAGCGUAGGCCGCCCCUUAAGCGUGUUGUGAAAUGCGGGUGCUCAACAUCCGACUUGCAGCGCGAACUGGGGGGCUUGAGUGCGCCGAACGUAGGCGGAAUUCGUGAUGUAGCGGUGAAAUGCUUAGAUAUCA